GUGGGGAAUAUUCCGCAAUGGACGAAAGUCUGACGGAGCAACGCCGCGUGAGUGAUGAAGGUUUUCGGACUGUAAAGCUCUGUUAAUCGGGACGAAAGAGCCUAGUGUGAAUAAUGCUAGGAAGUGACGGUACCGGAAUAGAAAGCCACGGCUAACUACGUGCCAGCAGCCGCGGUAAUACGUAGGUGGCAAGCGUUGUCCGGAAUUAUUGGGCGUAAAGCGCGCGCAGGCGGAUCUGCCAGUCUGUCUUAAAAGUUCGGGGCUUAACCCCGUGAUGGGAUGGAAACUACAGAUCUAGAGUAUCGGAGAGGAAAGUGGAAUUCCUAGUGUAGCGGUGAAAUGCGUAGAUAUUAGGAAGAACACCAGUGGCGAAGGCGACUUUCUGGACGAAAACUGACGCUGAGGCGCGAAAGCCAGGGGAGCGAACGGGAUUAGAAACCCCAGUAGUCC
rnacentral:rRNA from 1 species